rnacentral:lncRNA from 1 species
CUGCGAUGCUAAAUUUUAUUAUAGAAAUACAAAUAAAGUACUGUAGGUGAUAAAUAGACAUAACAUAUAACUUACAAUCAACUGUGACUAAUUAGUUGAUCAUUUUGAUAAUACAAAUAAAACAUAGUACAAUCAAGUGUGAAAUUUAAGUUGAUCAUUUGGAUUAGUACAAGUAAAAUAUCAACUUCCGAAGCAAGGUUGUCGGCUCUGCAAACUUUCCCGAAGUCCUGCGUUUUAUUUGCCGAGUUUGUGAGCUUCGGUCCUUGAUUGGAAGUUGGUAAAAUAUAGUACAAUAAAGUUUAAAAUGUUAGUUGAUCAUUUAUAUAAUACAAGUAAAAUAUAGUACAACAAGAAUGUGUCCAUAGUACACGGAUGCCCCCUCCGCACUAUCAUUUUCUAUGCUCAGUGGACUGUGAAAUUGGAGCAUAACUGUAAUUUGGCAUUGAAAUUAGAAAGAUCAUAUCAUAGGGAACAUGUGUACUAAGUUUCAAGUUGAUUGGACUUCAACUUCUUCAAAAACUACCUUGACCAAAAACUUUAACCUGAAGCGGGACAGACAGACGGACGAACGGACGCACAGACCAGAAAACAUAAUGCCCCUCUAUUAUCGUAGGUGGGGCAUAAGUAAGUACAGUUAAGUAUGAACAAUAAAUUGAUAAUAUAGAUAAAGGAAGUAAAAUACAAGAAUGUGUCCUCAGUACACGAAUGCCCCACUCGCACUAUCAUUUUCUAUGUUCGGUGGACCGUGAAAUUGGGGUAAAAUCUCUAAUUUGGCAUUAAAAACCUGAAGCGGGACAGACGGAUGAACGGACGGACGGACGAACGGACGAACGGACGCACAGACCAGAAAACAUAAUGCCCCUCUACUAUCGUAGGUGGGGCAUAAUAAUACAGUAAAUAAGUGAACAUUUAGUUAGUUAAUCAUUUAAAAGUAAAAUAAGUCAAAUAUGAUACAGUAAAAAAAAAUCUUAACAUUACGUUGAUUACUUGAAAAAUACAAGUCAAAUAUAAUACAUGUACAUUGAAGUUGAUCAUUUGGAUAAUACAGUCAUAAUUAUCCCAUGACGACG